rnacentral:tRNA from 1 species
UGGUAAUUAGUUUAAAAAAAAAAUUAAUGAUUUCAACUCAUUAAAUUAUGAUAAUGUUCAUAAUUACCAA